AUUGAACGCUGGCGGCAGGCCUAACACAUGCAAGUCGAACGGAGAGGAGGACGGGAGAGAUAUGCAAUGGAAUCUGCCUGGCAGGGGGGGGGAACGUCCGGAAACGAGAGGGUAUACCGCAUACUAUAAGAUGGGCCGAGGGGGGAUUAGCUUGUUGGGUGGGUGAAGGCCUACCAAGGCGAGGAGCCGAAACUGGUCUGGGAGGAUGAGCAGUCACAUUGGAACUGAGACACGGUCCAGACUCCUACGGGAGGCAGCAGUGUGGAAUAUUGGACAAUGGGCGAAAGCCUGAUCCAGCCAUGCCGCGUGUGUGAAGAAGGUCUUCGGUUUGUAAAGCACUUUAAGUUGGGAGGCGUUACAAGCAGAAUAAGCACCGGCUAACUCCGUGCCAGCAGCCGCGGUAAUUC
rnacentral:rRNA from 1 species